UACAGAGGUCCCAAGCGUUGUUCGGAUUCACUGGGCGUAAAGGGUGCGUAGGUGGUGAGGUAAGUCGGAUGUGAAAGCUCGGAGCUCAACUCCGAAAUGGCAUUGGAAACUACCUUGACUCGAGGGUUGGAGGGGGGACUGGAAUACUUGGUGUAGCAGUGAAAUGCGUAGAUAUCAAGUGGAACACCAGUGGCGAAGGCGAGUCCCUGGACAACUCCUGACACUGAGGCACGAAAGCUAGGGGAGCAAACAGG
rnacentral:rRNA from 1 species